UCAAUGAAAUUAAUCUUCCUGUGAAAAAGCAGGAAUAAAAUUAUAAGACGAAAAGACCCUAUGGAGCUUUAAACUUAUUACCACUUAUUUAGUUACAUAACAAUUUAAAUAAUAAGACUGUUCUUUAAUAGUUUUCGGUUGGGGCGACCCUGGAGAAAAAUAAAUCCUCCAGAUUGAAAAAUAACCCUUAUAUAAGAACCACAAUUCAAAUAAACAAAAAUUUGACAAAACUGACCCAGAAUAACUGAUCAGUGAACCAAGUUACCCUAGGGAUAACAGCGCUAUCCAUUUUGAGAGUCCGUAUUGACAAAUGGGUUUACGACCUCGAUGUUGGAUCGGGGUAUCCCAGCAGCGCAGCAGUUGCUAAUGGUUCGUUUGUUCAACGACUAACACCCCACGUGAUCUGAGUU
rnacentral:rRNA from 1 species